AAAAUCAGUUUGAUAAUCGCUUUUUAAAAGAGGAAAGUCCGAACUCCGCAGGACAAAACACCUCCUAAUAAGAGGGUCCUAUAUAUUUAGGAAUGGAAAGUGCAGCAGAAAGUAAACCGCCUGUAAAGGUAAGGGUGAAAUGGUGGUGUAAGAGACUACCAGUGAUAAUCGCAAGAUUGUUAGCUAUGUAAACCCUGUUUGGAGCAAGAUCAAGUAGCCUAGUGUGGUCCGCAUGUUAUAAUGGCUGGUAGAUUGCUAAAAUUAAGUUGUGAAGCUUAAUUAAGAUGAAUGAUUAUCUGAGAAACAGAAUUCGGCUUAUAAACUGAUUUUAAAU
rnacentral:RNase_P_RNA from 1 species